GACGAACGCUGGCGGCGUGCCUAAUACAUGCAAGUAGAACGCUGAAGAGAGGAGCUUGCUCUUCUUGGAUGAGUUGCGAACGGGUGAGUAACGCGUAGGUAACCUGCCUUGUAGCGGGGGAUAACUAUUGGAAACGAUAGCUAAUACCGCAUAACAAUGGAUGACACAUGUCAUUUAUUUGAAAGGGGCAAUUGCUCCACUACAAGAUGGACCUGCGUUGUAUUAGCUAGUAGGUGAGGUAAUGGCUCACCUAGGCGACGAUACAUAGCCGACCUGAGAGGGUGAUCGGCCACACUGGGACUGAGACACGGCCCAGACUCCUACGGGAGGCAGCAGUAGGGAAUCUUCGGCAAUGGGGGCAACCCUGACCGAGCAACGCCGCGUGAGUGAAGAAGGUUUUCGGAUCGUAAAGCUCUGUUGUAAGUCGAGAACGGGUGUGAGAGUGGAAAGUUCACACUGUGACGGUAGCUUACCAGAAAGGGACGGCUAACUACGU
rnacentral:rRNA from 1 species